AACGAACGCUGGCGGCAUGCCUAACACAUGCAAGUCGAACGAGACCUUCGGGUCUAGUGGCGCACGGGUGCGUAACGCGUGGGAACCUGCCCUUAGGUUCGGAAUAACUCCCCGAAAGGGGUGCUAAUACCGGAUAAUGUCUUCGGACCAAAGAUUUAUCGCCUUUGGAUGGGCCCGCGUUGGAUUAGCUAGUUGGUAGGGUAAAAGCCUACCAAGGCGACGAUCCAUAGCUGGUCUGAGAGGAUGAUCAGCCACACUGGGACUGAGACACGGCCCAGACUCCGACGGGAGGCAGCAGUGGGGAAUAUUGUACAAGGGGCGAAAGCCUGAUCCAGCAAUGCCGCGUGAGUGAUGAAGGCCUUAGGGUUGUAAAGCUCUUUUACCCGGGAUGAUAAUGACAGUACCGGGAGAAUAAGCUCCGGCUAACUCCGUG
rnacentral:rRNA from 1 species